AGGUGGUCUUCCGUGGUCAAGCACGCAGCCCGUCCCACAGGCAAAUCCGUGGGGCGCGUGGGCGAGGUGCGAUGAUGGGCGCCGUUGGGCGCGAUAUCCGGUGAUCCCGGCUGCCGAGAAAAGCUUCGGCGUGAGGCGGCAUGCCGCCCGUACCCCAAACCGACACUGGUGGUCAGGUAGAGAAUACCAAAGCGAUCGAGCGAAUCCUGGUCAAGGAACUCGGCAAAUCACUCCCGUUCCUUCGGUUUAAGGGAGACCCCCGAUGGUGAAGCGGCUUGCCCGCGGAGCUUUUGGGGGUGGCACAGACCAGGGGGUAGCGACUGUUUACCAAAAACACAGGAGCGUGCGAAGGCGCAAGCCGCUGUAUACGCUCUGACGCCUGCCCGGUGCCGGAAGGUUAAGAGGAUCCGUCAGGCCUCGGCCGAAGCGGUGAAUUCAAGCCCCGGUAAACGGCGGUGGUAACUAUAACCAUCCUAAGGUAGCGAAAUUCCUUGUCGGGUAAGUUCCGACCUGCACGAAUGGCGUAACGACUUCCCCACUGUCUCGACCAGGAGCUCGGCGAAAUUGCAGUACGAGUAAAGAUGCUCGUUAAGCGCAGAAGGACGAAAAGACCCCGGGACCUUUACUAUACCUUGGUAUUGGCAUUCGGUGUGGAUUGUGUAGCAUAGGCGGAAGGCUUCGAAGCCACGGCGCCAGCCGCGGUGGAGCCGCAAGGUGAAAUACCGCUCUGUUCGCAUUGGAUGUCUAACCUCGACCAGUCAUCCUGGUCAGGGACAGUGCCUGGCGGGUAGUUUAACUGGGGCGGUUGCCUCCCAAAGAGUAACGGAGGCGCUCAAAGGUUCCCUCAGCCCGGUUGGCAAUCGGGUGGCGAGUGUAAGUGCACAAGGGAGCUUGACUGCGAGACUGACGGGUCGAGCAGGGACGAAAGUCGGAACUAGUGAUCCGGUGCCGGUGUACGGACGCGGCAUCGCUCAACGGAUAAAAGGUACCCCGGGGAUAACAGGCUGAUCAUUCCCAAGAGUCCAUAUCGACGGGAUGGUUUGGCACCUCGAUGUCGGCUCGUCGCAUCCUGGGGCUGGAGCAGGUCCCAAGGGUUCGGCUGUUCGCCGAUUAAAGCGGCACGCGAGCUGGGUUCAGAACGUCGUGAGACAGUUUGGUCUCUAUCCUCUGCGCUCGUCGGAAUGUUGAGGAGGCCUGCCCAUAGUACGAGAGGACCUGGGUGGACGAACCUCUGGUAUGCCGGUUGUCACGCCAGUGGCACGGCCGGUUGGCUACGUUCGGAAGGGAUAACCGCUGAAAGCAUCUAAGCGGGAAGCCUGCUCCAAGAUAAGCAUUCCAUAGGACUACGGGUCCUUGAAGUCCCCAUGCAGAACACGUGGUUGAUAGGCCGGACGUGGAAGCCCCGCGAGGGGUGGAGCCGACCGGUACUAACGGACGAAAGGCAACACAA
rnacentral:rRNA from 1 species